AGCCCAACUACUAGCCCACAAUUCCCCCCAAACUUCCCAACCAACCAAACUAAACCAUUCUACAAGCCAAGUUUUUGAGAACAAAAAGCUUAACUCAGCGCAAUAGUAAAUAGUAUUAUAAAAGAAAGUUGAAAGAACAGUUAUUCACUUUAAGCACCAAAAAGCAGCCACAACAACCCGUACCUUUUGCAUCAUGGUUUAGCAAGAAAUACCAGAUAAAGAGAACUAAAACCUGCGCCCCCGAAACCAAACGAUCUAUCUAAAAGCAGUCCCAAGGACGCACCCAUCUCUGUCGCAAAAGAGUGGGAUGACUUCUAGAUAGAGGUGACACGCCAAUCGAGUUUGGUGAUAGCUGGUUACCCAUUAAAUGAAUCUCAGUUCACCCCUACAAGACAUAGAUAAUAACAAAUAUCCCACUAUUAUUGUAGGAGAUAUACAAUAAGGGAACAGCCUUAUUGUAAUUGAAUACAAUCAGAACUAGAGGGCCACCAAAAUCAGACUUUCAAUAGGCCUUAAAGCAGCCAUUAAAAAAUAUAGCGUUAAAGCAAAAUCCAAAUAUAAUCCCAUAAUCCACCCAAAACCCCUAGAAUAACACUGGGUCACUUUGAUUUACAAAGGAGAUAAUGCUAAAAUUAGUAAUAAGAGAAAACUCUCCUUGCACACCCAUACACCAGCACAGAUGAACUUCUGGUAGUUAACACCCCAUUACAUGUAAAACCCACAAGAAUCUACAUCACACAACAUGUUAACCCAACACAGGCGUGCUAAUUGAAGAGAAAGAUUAAAAGCUAUAGAAGGAAUUCGGCUAAUACGCCCCACCUGUUUACCAAAAACAUGGCCUUUAGCAACAAUAAGUAUUAAAGGUCCAACCUGCCCAGUGAACUCGCUUUUAACGGCCGCGGUAUCCUAACCGUGCGAAGGUAGCAUAAUCAUUUGUCUCUUAAAUAGAGACUAGUAUGAACGGUUAAAUGAGGGCUUAACUGUCUCCUAUAGCCAAUCAAUGAAAUUGAUCUCACAGUACAAACGCUGUGAUACAACUAUAAGACGAAAAGACCCUGUGGAGCUUUAAAUUUCUACAUUAACUUAAACAUACUAGUAUAAUGUAAAUUUUAAGUUGGGGCGACUAUGGAGUAAAAUAAAACCUCCACGCAAGACGACUAACCCCCGUCACACAAAGGCCAACAAGCCAAACUAAUAACACAUGAUCCAGUCAAACUGACCACCGAACCAAGUUACCCCAGGGAUAACAGCGCCAUCCCCUUAAAGAGUCCCCAUCGAUAAGGGGGUUUACGACCUCGAUGUUGGAUCAGGACACCCAAGUGGUGCAACAGCUACUAAAGGUUCGUUUGUUCAACGAGUAACGUCCUACGUGAUCUGAGUUCAGACCGGAGCAAUCCAGGUCGGCUUCUAUCUAUAUUAUUCUUCUUCAGUACGAAAGGACCAAGAAGACGUUAUCAAUACUCCAAAGUACAUAACGAAACUUAAGUACAGGAAGACAACUUAAAAACACCACAACCAAUUCAAGCCCUAAACCAGGGCACAAAA
rnacentral:rRNA from 1 species